rnacentral:lncRNA from 1 species
GGAAGUCGGUUACGCACGAGGAAGUGUUAGCACCCUCGUGACGCCUAAAAUUGGUACCGAAUUGAUUGUUUAAUGUCUUAGUGUCGAAACUUGAAAAGAUUUUUAAAUACGAUCCCAUGAAAUGAAAACUUAAAUAAUUGAAUUGGCUAAAUAGACGGGGACCCAUUUCAAAUAAAUAAACUGUCACACUCAGUUAGUUAGAGUACAAUAGUUCAAUCUUCGAAGUUAGAUUUGUCCUUUUUUAAUUUUUUUUAAAAACCAUAUUGUAGAGCCCAAAUAUGCCCGGGCCCAAUAAAAUUAAAACCCAAGACCCAAACAUCAAGCCCAAAAAUACCAACAGCCCAGCAAGCCCAAAGCUUAACAAAAUUUCAGCCAAAUCAAAAAUCAAAACCCUAGCCGCAUAGCAGCCACCAGCAAGACCCCAGCCGUCGCACGUCUCGGGACUGGCCUCCUCCAUGCGCGCCGUUUUCCCCCACGUUCGCCUGCAAAACGGACUCAAGGAGUCCCAUAGAGAGGAAACAGUAAAGAAUAAUAGCAAAAUCGGGACAACAGUUUGAUUUUUUUUGGCUAUAUAAAGGCUGAUUCUUAUUGUAAAAAUGGGGGGAGGGAAACUUUUGUUUUUUCAGUGUGAGAGAUAUACAAGAAAUAAAAAGAAAUACUGAGGAAAAAAUUUCUUGAAGGUGAAUUGGGUUUUUACAUUUUCUAUUCUGUUUAUUAUUAUUUUAUUUUGUUUUCUAAAGAAACGGUACAAAAGAGGAAAGGGAUAAUACCUUCGAGGAUUGGCCGUUGAACCACGUUCGCCUUGCUCAGAUCGGAGUUUGGCGGUGCGCUGGGAAUUGGCUCGCCUGAGAAUGGCGGCAGUGGGGGUUGGGGGUUAAAAGAAACCCUAGCAAAGAACUUUUUUUUUCUCUGCUGCAAAUGCUCUGUUUUUUUUAGAAAAAAAACUGCUUUAAGUAAAGACACCGAAACGGUGUCGUUCGGCUGAGGCAGGCCCGCGCGGUGACCCGACCCGGAGGGGAGGAUCCGCGCGUCUUGGGCCUAGAUGGUACAUUUCGCGUUUGGUCCCUGAGUUUUUAAAAGUGUGUUUAAAUCAAUUUCUUUGUUUCUCUUAAAUUUGGCCACGCGCUUUAUUUCCGUUUCAUUUGGAUCCCCAUUGAAACGCAACAUUUUAGGGAAAAGGGUUAAUAUCCCAUUUGAUCCCCCUCUGUUCUGUGCGUGUUCAAUAGGGUUCCUAUAUUUGUAUUUAUUCCAAAUUUGCUCUUAAAUUUUCUUGAGUUUCAAAUUAGUCAUUCUGUUAUUAUUAUUAUUAUUAUUAUUAUUAUUAUUAUUAUUAUCAACAUGUAUAUUUUUAAAUGCCCAGCCUCAUUAUAUGUACAUGUAUGCAUUUUUAAUAUAUAUAUAUUUUUUAAGUUUUAUACGCAGGCAUAUAUUUCGUUCUUACAUUUUCAAAAUUUCUUUUGUAUAGUUUUUUUUUGUUUCUUUUUUUUGUUUCAUAUGUUUUAUAUGUUAUACAUACUUACACAUUUCUUUAUUUUGUAAAUAUAGAUAUACAUAACUUUAUAUAUAUAUUUUUCACAUGUACAUAUUAUAUUUUAUUUGUUAUUAUUUUAUUUUCACCAUUCUCAUAUCUUAUAAUGCAUAUACAUUUUAUAAUUUAAAGUUCACAUAUAUUUUCUAUAAUAUAUUUACGUAUACGUUUUUCCUUUAAAAUCAUUAAAUAUUUUAUUGUUUCUAUAAUCUGCUAUUUUAUGUACAUAUACAUGUAAUUUUUGUAAAAUAAACAUACAUAUUUUCUUAGAAGUUAUUAUGGGUUUUACAUAUUUCAUUGUUUUUAUAAGUAUACCUAUAUGUAAGUGUUCUAUUAUGCAUACACGUAUUUCCAAAUUUACUUACAUGUUGUACGUAUUUAUGUAUAUAUACAUUUGUUGUAUAUAUAUAUAUAUAUUUAGCUCAUGUUAAAGUAUUUGUUUUAUGAGGUAUAUUAACUUUUUUAUCAUUUUUUCUAAAAAAGGGAAAAUAUAUUUGGUUUUGUCAAUACAUCAAAAUUAUUUUCUCUCGAUUCAAAGUUUUUUUUGAAUAAAAGCAUUAUUCGAAGUUUGGGGUUUUCAAGGGAAAUUGAGCCCUAACGUAUUGAGUUUUGAUUUUCUUUGUUAAUCUUAAAUAACCGAAGAUAUUCUUUAUUCAAAAUGCAUAAGCAUAAAAAUCAUUUUUGGGAACUUAACCUGUUGUGCCCUAACGUAUUGGGUGUGGCAUGUUACUUUCUCAAAGUGAAGAUUUUCGUAUAAAAUAAAAGUGAUAUUCAAGUUUGGGGAUUAUGAGGAAUUGUACCCUAACGUAUUGGGACUCGAUUUCUUUACAUGACUUGAACAAUUGAUUAUCCUUUUGUCAAUUUCACCAUUCAAGCUUAUUUUAAUAUCUUUUUUAACUUUCGACACAAAGACAUUAAAUAGUCAAUUUGGUACCGAUUUUUGGGUGUUACGAGGGUGCUAACCCUUCCUCGUGCGUAACUGACUCCCGAACCUGUUUUUAAAAUUCGCAGACCAAAAUGAUUUUUGAGGUGGGCCGGUCACACCUUAAUAAAUGAUCGGUGGCGACUCCAGUUUUAUUUUUUAACGUCGACAACUUAAAUUUUUGUUUUCAAAAAAACGGUUUCGACAGCUUGGCGACUCACUGGGGACAUUUGAGAGUCGAGCCAUAAACUGAUUAUAUUUGCCUUUGUGUCGAAAAUCAAAAGUUUUAAAAAAUUCAUGAGUUCCCUUCGCAUUUAUUGUUUUUUUUUUCAUGUUGGUAUGUUGGUAGUUUUGCAUUUGCAUUUUGCAUUUUACCCUUUAAGUGGGAGCGAGAAACUAGUCCUUCGUGAGGUUUUCACCUCCGUGCAGGGUAGUGGACCGCUUCCGGGAUACAUCCGUACCUAUGUCUUCGUGAGAUUUUCAUCUCCGUACAGCCAUAGGGAAAUGUAUUCCCCUGAACUGAACUCGAUUCAUAUGAGCCUAUAAUGGGUGAUGAUCGAGGAAUCUGCUGGUUCGGGUACCUUUACCUUAGUAGCCAAACCGCAUAUAGUGAACCUUAGGAACUUACCCUAGGUAGAAUUACUCUAAACCUUAGUAGAUACCUGACUAGGAGUUUUUAUUAUUUCUUGAUUGUAUUGGAUUUAAUGUUUAUACCCGAUACUAACCCGUUUUGUUUUGUUUUGGUUAUGAUUGCAUUGCAUUUGCAUUGUAGAAAAGAGAUGUUGAUUCAAGUUUGAUUACUAAUUUAGAAAGCCUAUCAUAAGAAAACAGGUUUCUUGAUAAAAUGGAAAAUAGUACGGCAGCCUGAAUAUAUUCCAAGAAAUACAAGAAGGGCGAUGGAAGAAUUCGUGACUUUACUUUAGGGCCCGAGGAUUCAAGAUGAUUUGUCUAAGAGCUUUCAACAUUCCAAAUUUCUUAAAGAAGCUAAUGAGCAUUACGGGGAUAGGUAGACAACGGAUUGCGACCAGAAUCAAGCAGAAGGAGCUAGCAGUGACAUCCAUUGGAAGUUCGCGAGGUUUAUCUUAACAUCCGGAUGAAAAAGGAGAAGAUAUCUUUGUUUCGAGUAUGAGGGAAAAGCCGUAUAUAUAUCCGCUUUAUGUAAAGAAAUUUGUCCUCUAGUAAGGUUUUCUAAAUGGAAUUGAAUCAGAAUCAACGUCUCUUUAUGCAUUCAUUUCAUGCAUUCGCAUUUCAUUACAUCAUAUGCAUCAAAGAUUAUUCAAAGAUACUAAUUAACUAAAAUCAUUGCUCAGUUAACCUGGAAUCCAACCAACCAACCCAACACCGAUACGGCACUCGAGCAAAGACAAAAGAUAUGGAUCAGAGAUUAGAAAAGCUCAAACAGUACCAGAAGGAGAUGCAAGAUCGGCUUCAGCUACAAAUGCAGGAGCGGCUAGACAAGAUGAAACAAGAGAUGUCUGAGAAGAUGCGAGAAUCCCAAGAAGAUAUAGUGGCAAAGUUAACCCGACUGAUAACUAAGGGAGGUGACAAAGGAAAGGGCCCCAUGGCAGAUGUCGAUGAAGGAAAUGAUGAUGAACUUUUCUAUCCUCCAGGUUUCACCCCUCCACAUGAGCGAGCUCAAGCUGAAUACCCACGCAAAUCAACUGUCACCAUCAUGCCUCAGCAAUUUCGAACUGGUGUUUCGAACCUCCAAACUGGGCUGGGUUUUAAUCUCGAAAAUAACCCCGUGAACCCCGCCAUUCCGGACUUUGACGAAGUGGCUGAGAAGGAAAGAAUAAAGGUGGAAUUACCGAAACAGUUAGAGGAUCGAUGCAAGUGGCUCGAGGAGAAGUUCAAAGCGAUGGAAGUCACUGAAAGUUAUCGAGGCAUUGAUGCAAAAGAGCUGAGUUUAGUGCCAGAUCUUGUUCUCCCUCAUAAGUUUAAGAUGCCUGAAUUCGAGAAGUACAAUGGGACGACUUGCCCAGAGGAUCAUAUCACCAUGUUCUGCAGGUGAAUGGCUGGAUACGUUAAUAAUGACCAGCUAUUAAUACAUUGCUUCCAAGACAGCCUUGCAGGGGCAGCAUCCAAGUGGUACAAUCAGUUGAGUCGAGCUACGAUUGGUUCAUGGAGGGACUUGGCGCAAGUAUUCAUGAAACAAUAUAGUCAUGUGACAGACAUGGCUCCUGAUAGAAUCACCCUUCAAAACAUGGAGAAGAAGCCGAGCGAAAGCUUUAGGCAGUACGCACAGAGAUGGAGGGAGGUCGCGGUCCAAGUUCAGCCGCCGCUCUUGGAAAAGGAAAUGACUAUGUUGUUUAUUAACACACUAAAAGCCCCAUUCAUUACGCAUAUGUUAGGAAAUGCUACAAAAAGCUUUCCUGACAUAAUUAUGAAUGGUGAAAUGAUCGAAAAUGCGAUAAGAAGUGGGAAAAUUGAUAUAGAGGAGAGUAACAAGAGGUAAGUCUCAAAAAGAAGAGAAAAUGAGGUGAACAACACGGGUUACUCUAAAUCAGUUACUGUUCAGCCAAGAAAGGUGGUUGGUAAUCAACAAAAUCCAUCGAGGCAAGAUUCCGGCAUAAAGACUGAAAAAUUCCAGUUUACACCAAUCCCAGUACCGUAUAAGGAACUGUAUCAAAAUUUGUUUGAUGCACAUGUUGUUUCCCCUUUUCAUGUGAAGCCUCUACAACCUCCGUAUCCCGAAUGGUAUGAUGCGAACACACAAUGUGACUACCACGCGGGAAUUACGGGACACUCGAUUGAGAAUUGCACUGCCUUCAAGAAGCAAGUUGAAAGACUUAUCAACAUGGGUAUUAUCAAGUUUGGUGACUCAUCUAACGCAGGAAAUCCGCUACCCAAUCAUGAUUGAGGAUGGAGGGACUGCAAUAUAUGAAGAAGUGGUGAGAAAUUUGCACAUCGAUGCCAUAUAUGCAGACACAAUUUAAAGGGUCAUUGUUAGAUAUUUUCCUUAGAGGUGUUCUAAAUAAUGAGACUGCGGAGGAAACCCCUGAAGUAUUUAGAGUCUGUUAGAGUAAUGUUCAGAACACACUUGUUGCUUUCAGCCUAGAAGCAAUAAGGAUUUCUUUGUGAAAUAAGCUCACGUCUGAACAUUAUUAUUUUAAUGAAAUACAUUAUUGCAAUCAUCUUUGAGCAAAUGUUCUUUCAUUCUUUACAUUUUUUUCAUUUUUUUUGGAUUUUUUCUGCCAAACCAUUCAUUCAUAUUAUUCAUACAUUCUUUUGUAUAUUCACGGAUACCUGCUAUGGGUCCCCAGAUAUCAAUGUCAUGAGUAAUGCUGCUACAGACUCAAAAUUUCCUUUUGAGUGAGACAUGUGUUUAGAGGGGUCUCAUGACUUUGAAGAUAACAUAGAUUGUAGCUUAUCUCCAGACUUGAGGAGGGUGAUAGAAUAAGAGGAUAGACAGAUCCUACAUCACAAUGAAUUAUCAGAAAUUGUGAGCUUGGUGAAGAUUGGAAUUGACAUGAUCACAAAGACGAGGCGGGACCUUAUAGAGCUACCACAAGAAUUCAAUGAUGUCUUCACAUGGUCUUACCUAGAUAUGCUCGGGUUAAGCACUAGCUUGUAAUCUGAAUAACAGCAUGAUGUUAGAAAUGGGCAGUAGGUUCAACAUCGAUGCUAUGAACGAUGUAGUAAACUUUCUUUGCUCGGGCAAUAUCCUCCUAUUUGGCUUAUCAUAGCUUUACUCAUUGAAGUCGAAUUGUCAUUUCUCUACAUUUUAUCCUAAGAGGAAGACCCGAAGGUCCGUCCCAAAGAAUUUGACAAGAGGGAACUAAUGUUGAAAAAGAUCCUUCCUAUACAAAAGGAUUUUAGAGGAAGAUAGAGGCCAAAUUAGAAGGGUCUAUAUGUUAUAAAGAAAGCCUUUUUUGGAGAAGCUUUGAUCUUGAGUGAGAUGGAUGGUAAAAAUUUACAAAGUCCUGUAAACUCAGAUUCAGUCAGGAAAUACUCUGCUUAAAAAAGGUGGGACCAAGGUGAAAGCCUACAAAGGGCGCUUUGAGUCAAAAAAAAAAGAGACCAGGGUGAAACCCUACAAAAGGAGCCUUGAGUAAAAAAAAAGGAGAGGCUAAUGUGAAAACUCGCAAAGGGCGCCUUAGACCAAAGGGGAUUUGAGUUGAAAACCCGAAAAAGGGCAGCUCAAAUGUUGAUCAGAAUGGGGCAUGAAGUAAUCAGAGCAGCUCAAAUACUGAUCAGAAUGGGAUAUACAGUGGUCUUGCUAUACCAGAAUCAGCAGGAAAGGGUAUGCGACAUCUUGGGGCAUCGAUAGAGUAUGAUAGAUCUCCUAAACACAUGUUAAGCUCAAAAUCGUCUUCAGAAAGUUUGUACAGAGAAGUUCAAGCUGCGAUGUCUGGGGCACCUAAUCUUUAUACCGUUUUUGCUAUUUUUGGAACACUUCAUUCAUUGCCAAGAUACACAUUCCUAAAUCAAUUUCUUUGUUAUCCAUCUUUAUUGUCCUUGAUAAUUUAUUCAUUUCGAGCUAUGCUCAGAGCCAACUCUAUUCUUAUCCAUGAUCUUUUUGCAAGCAUGUUGCAUUAGAAUAAUGGUUAAUAGACUAAUAAAACUUUCACAAGGGAAGUUUUGCAUAUUACUCUAGAAGUUUCUAAAUAAUGCAGGAACCUGAAACAGGACUAUUGUUUAGAAUGCACCAGGUUGGAAAUCUAAUAAGGAAAUGUCUAAAUUCAGACUAUCCCUUUAAAUUUUGUUACCUAAAACAUCGAUUGGACAAAAUGGCAAUGUGUCAUGUUGGUGACAAGGCUUCAAUGAACAAGCAGGCAAUGAUCACCGAAUAACAAGAAGAAGUUGUUCUUGGAGAGGAAUAUUCUUCAUUUGUGCAUGAGAAUUUGGUAUGACACCCUGGGAAUGGUGUAAGGGACCAAAGAGUUUCAUAUCCUGUAUCCUUGAAUUGUGAUAGUAGAGGAUUGAGAAAAGACCAAAUCUUUUUACUCUUGGGUUACAACGGGAGAAAGAUGGUAUAAAUUUUGCAUCCCAAUGGAUCAAACUUGGAGGUUUACAGUGGGGGGCAAUCUGGUCAAGAGUUUCUUUUGAGACGCCAGCUGAGCAAGAGGGUGCUAUAGCACAUUAGCGAUGAAACUUUAAAUAAACUUUGAGUAAUGAUAACCUAAGUGAAAAUGAGGGAUCAUUCUCGAAAAAAUGACAUUCUGCAUUCAUUCAAAUGUCAUUCAUACACGCCUAGUUAGGAGCAUUUGAUUCAUUUGAUCAUGACAUCCUAAUCAUUUGGCAUAGUUAGGUUCAUAAAGUGAAUUAUACAGGUCAUGUUCCCCAGAGAACAGAUCGGUGAAAUCAUAAAGCCUUAUCUUCCUGAACAACAGUGGAGCAGGUUGAAAAGCAGCAGAUCUUGUCUUCAUGUACUGGCGUGAAGUAGAUCAAAGAUAACAGAUCUCGCCUUCCCAUGCUGGUGGCGAAGCAGAUCGAAGGAAUACAGAUCUUGUCUUCAUGUACUGGCGUGAAGUAGAUCAAAUAUACAGAUCUCGCAUUCCCAUACUGGUGGCGAAGCAGAUCGAAAAAAAGUAGAUAUUGUCUUCAUGUAUCAGCGUGAAGUAGAUCAAAGUCAACAGAUCUUGUCUCCCCAUACUGGUGGUGGAGUAGAUAAAAGAAAGCAAAUCUUGUCUUCAUGUAUCGGCGUGAAGUAGAUCAAAGUCAACAGAUCUUGUCUUCCCAUAUUGGUGGCGUAGCAGAUCAAAGAAAGCAGAUCUUGUCUUCAUGUACUGGCGUGAAGUAGAUCAAAGAAACAGAUCUUGUCUCCCCAUACUGGUGGUGGAGUAGGUUGAAGAAAAUAGAUCGUGUCUUCAUGUACUGGCGUGAAAGAGAUCAAAGAUAGUAGGUCAUGUCUUCCUAUAUUGGUAGCGAAGUGGAUCGAAUAUACAUAUUUUAUCUUCCCAUACCGGCGGCGAAGUAGAUUGAAGAUUACAGAUCUUGCCUCCCUAAGCAGUAGUGAAGCAGAUCGAAGAUGGCGGAUUUUACCUCCCUGAAGUUGCAGUGGAGUAUAUUGAAGCCAGUAAUUCUACCUCCCCGGUCGGCAGUGGAAUCGAUUGAAAAAGCAGAUCCCGUCUUCAUGUACUGGCAUGAAGGAGAUCAAAGUUAGUAGGUCCUGUCUUCCUGUAUUGGUAGCAAAGUGGAUCAAAUAUACAUAUUUUAUCUUCCCAUACCGGCGGCGAAGUAGAUUGAAGAUUACAGAUCUUGCCUCCCUAAGCAGUAGUGGAGCAGAUCGAAGAUGGCGGAUUUUACCUCCCUGAAGUUACAGUGGAGUAUAUUGAAGCCAGCAAUUCUACCUCCCCGGUCGGCAGUGGAAUCGAUUGAAAAAGCAGAUCUUGUCUUCAUGUAUUGGCGUGAAGUAUAUCGAAGAAAGCAGAUAUUGUCUUCCCAUACUGGUGGUGAACUAUUUGAAGCUACAAGUCUUACCUCCCUGAAGUUGCAGUGGAGCAGACAAAAGUAACCAAUCCUAUCUCCUUGAAGUUGCGAUGGAGUGGAUUAAAACCGCAGAUCUCAUCUCUCUGAAGUUGCAGUAGAGCAGAUCGCGUCAGAUUUACCCUUAAGUUGUAGCUGAACAAAUUAAAGCUACAGGUCUUAUCUCCCUGAAGUUGCAGUGGAGCAGAUUAAAGUUAGCAAAUUUAGUUCUUUUGAGAAGCUACAACAUACGAAUCCUAUCUCCCUAACAUACAUUGCAGUGGAGUAGAUUGAAGCACCAGUUCUUAUACCUCUGAAGAUGCAGUAGGAGGGAAUGAGACUAUUUGAAGUAAAAAAGUACUAAAGAAGUCGAGCCUCAAUAAGGCCGGGCACAAUUGGCUUUUAGUCUUUACUCUGUUCCCGUUACACGACAACGAGCAAAGAGGGGCAGCUGUAGAGCCCAAAUAUGCCCGGGCCCAAUAAAAUUAAAACCCAAGAUCCAAACAUCAGGCCCAAAAAUACCAACAGCCCAGCAAGCCCAAAGCUUAACAAAAUUUCAGCCAAAUCAAAAAUCAAAACCCUAGCCGCAUAGCAGCCACCAGCAAGACCCCAGCCAUCGCACGUCUUGGGACUGACCUCCUCUAUGCGCGCCGUUUUCCCCCACGUUCGCCUAUAAAACGGACUCAAGGAGUCCCAUAGAGAGAAAACAGUAAAGAAUAAUAGCAAAAUCGGGAUAAAAGUUUGAUUUUUUUUUGCUAUAUAAAGGCUGAUUCUUAUUGUAAAAAUGGGGGGAUGGAAAUUUUUGUUUUUUCAGUGUGAGAGAUAUACAAGAAAUAAAAAGAAAUAAUGAGGAAAAAAUUUCUUGAAGGUGAAUUGGGUUUUUACAUUUUCUAUUCUGUUUAUUAUUAUUUUAUUUUGUUUUCUAAAGAAACAGUACAAAAGAGAAGAGGGAUAAUACCUUCGAGGAUUGGCCGUUGAACCACGUUCACCUUGCUCAGAUCGGAGUUUGGCGGUGCGCUGGGAAUUGGCUCGCCUGAGAAUGGCGGCAGUGGGGGUUGGGGGUUAAAAAAACCCUAGCAAAGAACUUUUUUUUC